AAAUUAGCUGGGCGUGGUAGCACAUGCCUGUAAUCCCAGCUACUCAGGAAGCUGAGGUGGGAGGAUCGCUUCAGCCCGGGAGACUGAGGCUACAGAGAGCCAUGGUCGUACCAUUCCAGCCUGGGAGACAGAGCAAGAACCUAUCUCAAAAAAAAGAAAAAA